rnacentral:lncRNA from 1 species
ACGACCUUACUUGAACAGGAUCUGUUCUAUAGGCUCGUACCUCUGUAUCCUUGAUUUCUAAGGAGACAGGAAACCAUGUCUGGUGGAUGAACCAUGUCUGCUUGACCAGAGCGUGAUUAACCGCACCAGUGGGUUUGGUGUCCGAACCGCUGGUCCAGUAGAGGAUCGUUCUCGGUUCACUUCGUUGAACUGGGGUGGUCUUGCAGCUGUCUGACAGACUUCUAUUUUUUUUUUUUCAUUCUAUUCUUUUAAUGUUUUAUUUAAAUUUCUUCCAAUAUUGAAGAUAUUUUUAUUUUUCUAUAUUUUAUUCAAAUUUCUAUUUUUUUUUAUUAUUCAAUUCUUUUAAUGUUUUAUUCAAAUUUCUUCCAACAUUCAAGAUAAUAGGGUUUGUGUAUGAAUCAAAUAAUAUUUAAAUACGAACAAAUUUUAAAUUGAAUACUAUUAAAAAUUUUAAAUUGAAUAUGAACAAAUUUCAAAUAAUAGGAGUAUUAUUUAUAAUAUACUAUUAAAAAAAAUUGAAAUCAAAUAUAUAUAUAUAUAUAUAUAUAUAUACGAAUUUUGUUUUGGUAAAUAAAACUUUCAUUCACGCACGAGGGGUGCAACCCAAAAAGAAGUACAAAGUUCAACGAUUAACCAAACAAAAAUCACAACUCAAGGCAACAAGACGUAUUACAAAUCCAAUCACUCAAACUAAAACAAGCGACGCUAGGACAUAAAUUUGACAUCCAAAACCAAAAUCUCACUUUGAUCAUUUCGACGAGGUUCUCACAACAACUCGGCAAAUUCUUGAAAUCACUCAUUUCUAUGUUUCCAUAAGUUCCAAACAACAUAAAUCCACAGAGAUUUCCACCAUUCUAUAGAGCUCUUUCUCCUAGCAUUUCCCAAAUGUUGUUGAAAGUGGCAUAAUGGAGUCAAUGGACUAUCAUGUUCAACAUAAUUAAUUCCAAACCAGCUGUAGCAACUACUCCAGACACCAAAAAACAUGUUCAACAGAUUCACAUUGNAUUUUUUUUGGUACCGGUAAAUUGAGCUGCACCAGCAGGUGGAAAGAUGGGUGAUAAGACGAAGAGGAAGAGGAGCAGAGGCACCACGCUGCUAAUCGCCAUGACAGAAUUAAAUCACAAGUAAUUAUUUAAGUUUUUAGGAGAAGGGGUUGUGUGUGUAUUGGAGAAAGAUAUGUUUGUUUGACCCAAUCCAAUAAUUAAAGUCAACAAGAACAUGCGGUGUUGUGCGAUUGUUUGGAAGUCAAACUACGUGUGGAAUUAAUUGAAGGCAGCUUGCUUUUCUGUGUUACUAUAUUUCAAGUUGGUUUAAUUUUCUUGAGAGGCUUGGAUUCUUUUGUCAUCGAACUAAUUAAUUCGUGUCUGUUGUGUGUGGAGUUUCGUUUUGGGGUUGGGGAAGGAAGUAAGGUCUUUUAAUGGAUUAAAUUUGAAUUAAAUAGGCAGCUCACAAAAUGAAGGAACUUAUCUAUCCCACAUCGAAAAAAACCCAGCAAUUUGACGCGUAUAUAUUGGUGAAGAGCAGUGAGAUGGUCACGACCUUACUUGAACAGGAUCUGUUCUAUAGGCUCGUACCUCUGUAUCCUUGAUUUCUAAGGAGACAGGAAACCAUGUCUGGUGGAUGAACCAUGGCUGCUUGACCAGAGCGUGAUUAACCGCACCAGUGGGUUUGGUGUCCGAACCGCUGGUCCAGUAGAGGAUCGUUCUCGGUUCACUUGGUUGAACUGGGGUGGUCUUGCAGCUGUCUGACAGACUUCUACUUUUUAUUAUUCUAUUCUUUUAAUGUUUUAUUUAAAUUUCUUCUAAUAUUGAAGAUAUUUUUAUU